rnacentral:rRNA from 1 species
UACGUAGGGUGCGAGCGUUAAUCGGAAUUACUGGGCGUAAAGCGUGCGCAGGCGGUUUUGUAAGCCAGGUGUGAAAUCCCCGGGCUCAACCUGGGAAUGGCAUUUGGGACUGGCAAGGCUGGAGUGCGGCAGAGGAGACUGGAAUUCCGCGUGUAGCAGUGAAAUGCGUAGAGAUGCGGAGGAACACCGAUGGCGAAGGCAGCCCCCUGGGCUAACACGUGACGCCUCGAGGCACGAAAGCGUGGGAGCAAACAGG